rnacentral:rRNA from 1 species
GCGCCCCCAGGUCAGGCGAGAACACCCGCUGAGUUUAA